ACCCCAACCAAACUACUUUGGGUUUUUCUCCUGAAUGUCACAGGAGAAGGACCCCACCCAGAACAAUAAGCUGCAACGUCCUUCUCCAAGCUGUAGAUACGCAAAAACCUCCCCUCCGUUUUACUGCAUCGUUGGCAUGUUGCUAAUUCAGAUACCCUGCUGCCGACUGAGUUAACAGUGAAAUCUCAGUUGCACAAAUAAAACAACUCUUACAGCUUUGGAAAUUAUGCAUCUCCUGAGGACAACUUUUGGGGUUUCCUAGAAGUUUUUCUAUCAGACACCACAUAUAAUCUGUUUACCUCUCAGUCGUUGCCAUCUGGUUUUGCCCUACCUAGUAGCUGAAGGCUUUCUCAGCUCGAAGCACAUAGAAAAAAUGCAUUUUAUUGUCUUGAAAUUUCUUUUUUAAAUGAGUUUGAAACCAGCUCUAAAGGGGAGAUAACAAAAAACAGCAAAAUCAGAGGAGCAGAGGUGUCUGGCAAGAACCUUAGGAAGCCUACUGGAAAGAAGGUUCUCAGUGGAUCUGGUUCCAUCACCACUACGUUUCAACCAGAUGCUGUCAUUCAGCAUUUCAAAGAGAAUCAGAAAGGUAACCUGAUGAAGACCUUAAAGAUAUAAAGGCCAACCAUGGAGGCAGGGGGUACUUAAAAACAGAUGCGAUGGAGUGAAUCCAGGUUUGCCCGUGAAACUUUGUUUUUUACAUGAGAAGAACGACAGCUUCAGUAUAUAAUAAAUCGCGAAUUUUUUAAGAGAACAAAAAGAGGUCUUUAAGCCGACCGAGAAAGAACGCAGCCAAAAGGAUCAAGCUGACCAUCGCAGGGCUAACUUACGAAGACCUCGCUGUUCGGUUCCACAUGAAAGACGCUCAAAAGGCAGGGCAACGGACGACAACACAGAGCCCUGGCACAGACUGGAGGCGCACCGACAGAGCAGACAGAGCUACGGGUGCAGCACCGCCGCACCGCUCUCCUCACGG